ACUCCUACGGGAGGCAGCAGUGGGGAAUAUUGCACAAUGGGGGAAACCCUGAUGCAGCCAUGCCGCGUGUGUGAAGAAGGCCUUCGGGUUGUAAAGCACUUUCAGCGAGGAGGAAGGUGUGUGCUAACUACCAUACUAUCUGUGACGUUACUCGCAGAAGAAGCACCGGCUAACUCCGUGCCAGCAGCCGCGGUAAUACGGAGGGUGCGAGCGUUAAUCGGAAUUACUGGGCGUAAAGCGUGCGCAGGCGGCUUUGUUAAGCGAGAUGUGAAAGCCCGGGCUCAACCUGGAUUGCAUUUCGAACUGGCAAGCUAGAGUCUUGUAGAGGGGGGUAGAAUUUCAGGUGUAGCGGUGAAAUGCGUAGAGAUCUGAAGGAAUACCGGUGGCGAAGGCGGCCCCGCUGGACAAAGACUGACGCUCAUGCACGAAAGCGUGGGGAGCAAACAGGAUUAGAUACCCU
rnacentral:rRNA from 1 species